rnacentral:rRNA from 1 species
AUUUGAAAUCUGGCUCUUUAGAGUCCGAGUUGUAAUUUGUAGAGGAUGCUUUUGGCGCGGUGCCUUCCGAGUUCCCUGGAACGGGACGCCUUAGAGGGUGAGAGCCCCGUACGGUUGGACACCAAGCCUCUGUAAAGCUCCUUCGACGAGUCGAGUAGUUUGGGAAUGCUGCUCUAAAUGGNAGGUAAAUUUCUUCUAAAGCUAAAUAUUGUUCAGAGACCGAUAGCGCACAAGUAGAGUGAUCGAAAGAUGAAAAGCACUUUGAAAAGAGGNUUAAAUAGCACGUGAAAUUGUUGAAAGGGAAGCGUUUGCGACCAGACCUUUUCCUAGAGGAUCGUCCGGUGUUCUUCACCGGUGCACUUCGCUAGGUCGAGGCCGGCNUCGGUUUCUGCAGGGGGAUAAAAGCCCAGGNAACGUANCUCUUUCGNGAGUGUUAUACCCCUCCGCAUAAUACCCUUGCGG